GGGCAAGUGGUGGAAUGGCAUACACGAAGGACUUAAAAUCCUUUGGCCGUAAGGCCGUGUGGGUUCGACUCCCACCUUGCCCA
rnacentral:tRNA from 1 species